rnacentral:misc_RNA from 1 species
UUUCCGUAGGUGAACCUGCGGAAGGAUCAUUAUCGUACAAAAUGUGAGGGGCAUGCGAGGGCUGUCGCUGACCCAAAAGUUGUGCACGCCCGAGUGUGUCCUCUUGCAUAAUAAUCCAUCUCACCCCUUGUGCAUCACCGCGUGGGCACCCUUCGGGAUCAUCUCGGAGGGGGGCUCGCGUUUUCACACAAACCCCCCUUUUAAAAGUGUAGAAUGACCACAUUUAUGCAAUCAAUACAACUUUCAACAACGGAUCUCUUGGCUCUC